rnacentral:rRNA from 1 species
GAUGAACGCUGGCGGCGUGCCUAACACAUGCAAGUCGAACGAGAAGCUAGCCUUUGAUUCCUUCGGGAUGAUCAGGUUGGCAGAAAGUGGCGAACGGGUGAGUAACGCGUGGGUAAUCUACCCUAAAGUGGGGGAUAACCCUCCGAAAGGAGGGCUAAUACCGCAUAAUAUCUUCUCCUCUAAAGAGGUAAAGAUUAAAGGUGGCCUCUAUUUAUAAGCUAUCACUUUAGGAUGAGCCCGCGUCCUAUUAGUUAGUUGGUGGGGUAAUGGCCUACCAAGACCACAAUGGGUAGCCGGUCUGAGAGGAUGUACGGCCACACUGGGACUGAGAUACGGCCCAGACUCCUACGGGAGGCAGCAGUGGGGAAUAUUGCGCAAUGGGGGAAACCCUGACGCAGCGACGCCGCGUGGACGAUGAAGGCCUUCGGGUUGUAAAGUCCUGUUCUGGGGGAAGAAACCUUAAGGGUCCAAUAAACCCUUAAGCUGACGGUACCCC